CGGAUUUAUUGGUUUAAAGGGUCCGGUAGGCGGAUUUGAUAAGUCAGUGGUGAAAUCUCACAGCUUAACUGUGAAACUGCCAUUGAUACUGCAAGUCUUGAGUGUUGUUGAAGUAGCUGGAAUAAGUAGUGUAGCGGUGAAAUGCAUAGAUAUUACUUAGAACACCAAUUGCGAAGGCAGGUUACUAAGCAACAUCUGACGCUGAUGGACGAAAGCGUGGGGAGCGAACAGGAUUAGAUACCCUGGUAGUCCACGCCGUAAACGAUGCUAACUCGUUUUUGGGCUUUUGGGUUCAGAGACUAAGCGAAAGUGAUAAGUUAGCCACCUGGGGAGUACGAACGCAAGUUUGAAACUCAAAGGAAUUGACGGGGGCCCGCACAAGCGGUGGAUUAUGUGGUUUAAUUCGAUGAUACGCGAGGAACCUUACCAAGGCUUAAAUGGGAAAUGACAGGUUUAGAAAUAGACUUUUCUUCGGACAUUUUUCAAGGUGCUGCAUGGUUGUCGUCAGCUCGUGCCGUGAGGUGUUAGGUUAAGUCCUGCAACGAGCGCAACCCCUGUCACUAGUUGCCAUCAUUAAGUUGGGGACUCUAGUGAGACUGCCUACGCAAGUAGAGAGGAAGGUGGGGAUGACGUCAAAUCAUCACGGCCCUUACGCCUUGGGCCACACACGUAAUACAAUGGCCGGUACAGAGGGCAGCUACACAGCGAUGUGAUGCAAAUCUCGAAAGCCGGUCUCAGUUCGGAUUGGAGUCUGCAACUCGACUCUAUGAAGCUGGAAUCGCUAGUAAUCGCGCAUCAGCCAUGGCGCGGUGAAUACGUUCCCGGGCCUUGUACACACCGCCCGUCAAGCCAUGGAAGUCUGGGGU
rnacentral:rRNA from 1 species